UGGGGAAUAUUGCACAAUGGGCGCAAGCCUGUUGCAGCCAUGCCGCGUGUAUGAAGAAGGCCUUCGGGUUGUAAAGUACUUUCAGUCGGGAGGAAGGUGUCAAGGUUAAUAACCUUGGCAAUUGACGUUACCGACAGAAGAAGCACCGGCUAACUCCGUGCCAGCAGCCGCGGUAAUACGGAGGGUGCAAGCGUUAAUCGGAAUUACUGGGCGUAAAGCGCACGCAGGCGGUUGAUUGAGUCAGAUGUGAAAUCCCCGGGCUUAACCCGGGAAUUGCAUCUGAUACUGGUCAGCUAGAGUCUUGUAGAGGGGGGUAGAAUUCCAUGUGUAGCGGUGAAAUGCGUAGAGAUGUGGAGGAAUACCGGUGGCGAAGGCGGCCCCCUGGACAAAGACUGACGCUCAGGUGCGAAAGCGUGGGGAGCAAACAGG
rnacentral:rRNA from 1 species